UGCAGUCGAGCGGACAGAUGGGAGCUUGCUCCCUGAUGUCAGCGGCGGACGGGUGAGUAACACGUGGGUAACCUGCCUGUAAGACUGGGAUAACUCCGGGAAACCGGGGCUAAUACCGGAUGCUUGAUUGAACCGCAUGGUUCAAUUAUAAAAGGUGGCUUUUAGCUACCACUUACAGAUGGACCCGCGGCGCAUUAGCUAGUUGGUGAGGUAACGGCUCACCAAGGCAACGAUGCGUAGCCAACCUGAGAGGGUGAUCGGCCACACUGGGACUGAGACACGGCCCAAACUCCUACGGGAGGCAGCAGUAGGGAAUCUUCCGCAAUGGACGAAAGUCUGACGGAGCAACGCCGCGUGAGUGAUGAAGGUUUUCGGAUCGUAAAACUCUGUUGUUAGGGAAGAACAAGUACCGUUCGAAUAGGGCGGUACCUUGACGGUACCUAACCAGAAAGCCACGGCUAACUACGUGCCAGCAGCCGCGGUAAUACGUAGGUGGCAAGCGUUGUCCGGAAUUAUUGGGCGUAAAGCGCGCGCAGGCGGUUUCUUAAGUCUGAUGUGAAAGCCCCCGGCUCAACCGGGGAGGGUCAUUGGAAACUGGGGAACUUGAGUGCAGAAAAGGAGAGUGGAAUUCCACGUGUAGCGGUGAAAUGCGUAGAGAUGUGGAGGAACACCAGUGGCGAAGGCGACUCUCUGGUCUGUAACUGACGCUGAGGCGCGAAAGCGUGGGGAGCGAACAGGAUUAGAUACCCUGGUAGUCCACGCCGUAAACGAUGAGUGCUAAGUGUUAGAGGGUUUCCGCCCUUUAGUGCUGCAGCAAACGCAUUAAGCACUCCGCCUGGGGAGUACGGUCGCAAGACUGAAACUCAAAGGAAUUGACGGGGGCCCGCACAAGCGGUGGAGCAUGUGGUUUAAUUCGAAGCAACGCGAAGAACCUUACCAGGUCUUGACAUCCUCUGACAACCCUAGAGAUAGGGCUUCCCCUUCGGGGGCAGAGUGACAGGUGGUGCAUGGUUGUCGUCAGCUCGUGUCGUGAGAUGUUGGGUUAAGUCCCGCAACGAGCGCAACCCUUGAUCUUAGUUGCCAGCAUUCAGUUGGGCACUCUAAGGUGACUGCCGGUGACAAACCGGAGGAGGGUGGGGAUGACGUCAAAUCAUCAUGCCCCUUUUGACCGGGGCUACCACCGU
rnacentral:rRNA from 1 species